GAUGAACGCUGGCGGCGUGCCUAAUACAUGCAAGUCGAGCGAACGGACGAGAAGCUUGCUUCUCUGAUGUUAGCGGCGGACGGGUGAGUAACACGUGGAUAACCUACCUAUAAGACUGAGAUAACUUCGGGAAACCGUAGCUAAUACCGGAUAAUAUUUUGAACCGCAUGGUUCAAAAGUGAAAGACGGUCUUGCUGUCACUUAUAGAUGGAUUCGCGCUGCAUUAGCUAGUUGGUAAGGUAACGGCUUACCAAGGCAACGAUGCAUAGCCGACCUGAGAGGGUGAUCGGCCACACUGGAACUGAGACACGGUCCAGACUCCUACGGGAGGCAGCAGUAGGGAAUCUUCCGCAAUGGGCGAAAGCCUGACGGAGCAACGCCGCGUGAGUGAUGAAGGUCUUCGGAUCGUAAAACUCUGUUAUUAGGGAAGAACAUAUGUGUAAGUAACUGUGCACAUCUUGACGGUACCUAAUCAGAAAGCCACGGCUAACUACGUG
rnacentral:rRNA from 1 species